GCCACACUGGAACUGAGACACGGUCCAGACACCUACGGUGGCAGCAGUCGAGAAUUUUCACAAUGGGCGAAAGCCUGAUGGAGCGACGCCGCGUGGGGAUGAAGGGCUUCGGCUCGUAAACCCCUGUCAUUCGCGAACAAAAGGUGCCGGCCUAAUAUGCCGUCGUCUGAUAGUAGCGGAAGAGGAAGGGACGGCUAACUCUGUGCCAGCAGCCGCGGUAAUACAGAGGUCCCAAGCGUUGUUCGGAUUCACUGGGCGUAAAGGGUGCGUAGGUGGCAGGCUAAGUCGGGUGUGAAAUCUCCGGGCUCAACCCGGAGGGUGCGCUCGAAACUGGUUUUGCUAGAGGAUGGGAGGGGAGACUGGAAUUCUCGGUGUAGCAGUGAAAUGCGUAGAUAUCGAGAGGAACACCGGUGGC
rnacentral:rRNA from 1 species